AAAAACAUUUUCUUAUUAUCUCAUUCCCUGACUACGGAACAAUCACCCCAUUGAAAAACCACAAGCCCGCCCAAGUUUUAAAUUAAACCUCUUGAGUUUUCCCUGUGAGAGCAGAUAAAAUCCUUCCAGCUUAUGUUUUAAGGAAAGAAUUUGGGGUGUGUGUGCGUGUGUGUGUGCGUGUCUGUGUAUUUCCCCUAAACCUAUGUUCUUUUGUUGGGUUCCUGAGCACGCUGUUGAAAUAUUUCACUUGAGGACAUCAUUACAUUUCAUGGAUGUUGAAGUAUCCUUCCAGGAGCAGCUACUCCACGGCUGUUUGGAUUUAGAAUGCAGCUCUUUUGGGAAGGAAGAGAUAAGUCCUCUUCCAAGAAGUAAGCUUCCCAGAGUGGCCUUGAAGGGCUGAGAUGAGAUUCUUGCAAGAGGUAUUCAGUCCCCACCCGCGUAUUUGUUCAUUAGAUGCCGACCGUAGGCUCUGAAAAUCCACUGUGUGAAAAAUCUCAAGCUGUAGGCUGGCAAGGAGAUUGAGAAGACAGAGAGGGUUUUGUUCCUCAGCUGGCGUCAGAAGAAGCCUAAGCUCUACUCUUGGCCCCACUCAGAGCAGCUGGGCUAAUGCUGGCCCAUGUCUUUGCCUCUCAGCAUCUCAGUUGCCUUAUCCCUAAAGGAGGAAUGCGCAUAGGGGCUCCUACUACAGAAUUCCCAACAGCGAAAGCCUGAGAAGAUGCUACUACUAUACUGUUGUGCAGUCAUUCAACAAACAUUUGCUGAGCACCUACUGUGUGCUGGAUUCUGUUUUAGGCACUUGGGAGACAGCAGGAAACUAGACAAGCAGCAUCCCUGCCUGCCUGGUGCUAACAUUCUGGAAGGUGGAAAAACUCGUCUUUCGAAAGCUAGGAAUCAUUUCUGAUUUUGUUUUGGAAGUGACGUUGGGCUUUUGAUGGUGCCUGGGGCUGGCCCAGCACGACGGCUUGAAGGAUUUCCCUUCCCCCUCGCCGUUCCUUUUCCCCCCAGAGCCCUUUCCCCCAGUCAGCCUCCUGCAUGUCUAAUCUCACCUGGGCAUCUGCUUCUUAGGGGUCGCAAACUGACCCAGCACCAUGCGGGAAUUAGAAAAAAGAGGCCCCAGGCUGGGCGCGGUGGCUCAGGCCUGUAAUCCCAGCAUUUGGGAACACCAAGAGUCCAGGACUCUUGAGCCCAGGACUUCAAGACCAGCCUGGGCAACAGAGCAAGACCCCAUCUCUACAAAAAAUUUUAAAAACUAGUU
rnacentral:lncRNA from 10 species